rnacentral:rRNA from 1 species
UACGUAGGGUGCAAGCGUUGUCCGGAAUUAUUGGGCGUAAAGCGCCCGCAGGCGGCUUGCCAAGUUCGAUGUGAAAUCUCCCGGCUCAACUGGGAGGGUGCAUCGAAAACUGGCAGGCUUGAGGCAGGGAGAGGGAUGUGGAAUUCCAGGUGUAGUGGUGAAAUGCGUAGAUAUCAAGAGGAACACCUGAGGUGAAGCCGGGUUGCUGGGCCGACACUGACGCUGAUGCGCGAAAGCCAGGGGAGCAAACGGG